AAAUUGUGCAAGAUUUGCAAUGCAUGGGUCUCCAACCGAAAGUCCUGCAGGUUUCAUUUACAACCCCAAUUAAACACACCUGAACCUGCUAAUCAAGUUGUUCAGGGCUAAAAUUUUGAGGUGUGUUGGAGUAAAAGGAUAGCUGACCUCCAAAAACAACAUUGGAGGCCCAAGGACAGCCAGUGGAGAAUCUUCUGUUUUCGACGACAUCGUGGAGGUUUGCAUAACCGAUGAAUGACUCCACUUUUAUAUGCAACGGUAGAGCCAGUCCAUUGCUGCCUCUCUUGAUUGGUAGAGAAGUUACAGACAGUUGUACAAGUUGUUACAAUUGUCUACUCUGCUUUGGAUGGCGAAAUCCAGUGCAACACAUACACAGAAGGGUGAUUUCCCACUAAAAUGACUCAAUACUGUGUGUCUGUUUGAACGAAUCAUUUCAAUGAAAAGUAGCCUAAAAAAGAAAAAGUAUAAACCAAUCUUUGUAUGUAUGCUAAAUUCAUAUUCUUUGCCAGCUUUUUUAAACAACUGUUAUGGAAACUCA